ACGAGGCUGCCAGUUACCGUGAGAGAGAAACAUCCCCCGCCUCCCCCUCCCUCCCGCCAUCCCGCCUGCCCGUCCACUCGCGCUCUCGCCCGACCGCAGGUCCCACGGGCGGCCCCCGCCGGCGCCGCGCACUCACUUUCCAGAUAGUCCUCUAGUGGAAAGUGUGGCGAACAUCUGGCCUGAUGGUCAAGACACUCGUUAGGAUUCCAUCUUCCAUCUGGGAGCCAGCAAUGAAUGAUAGCUGAAGUUGUUGGAUUCCUACUACCCAGGUGCUGUGUGUUAUUGACAAGAAGUGGUGUUUGGAAGAUUCAAGAUUUUUUCUAAUCUUUAUUUUUACCUUGUUUUAAUAUGAAUCCAGUUGAUUUAGAAGCUUGGGGAACUUUAUUUUGGUAGUAAGGAAAAAAUUUUUUUGUAAAGUUGGUUAGUGUAGUCUUAUUAUUGAGGAAGUACCAUGUGGAAGGAUGACAAUAUAGUGCUUUUUUAUACUCUGGCCAUAAAUUUCUUAUGAGGCUUACAACAUUGUGGUGUAGAGCCAGCCACACUCACUAAUUUGGAAUUCCUCAAGGGCAGAGGCCAUGUUUUAUUCAUUUGUUGAUCCACAGAUCUGGCAGGUAAUAUGAGUUCAAUAAAGAUGUGAUGAAUUAU